rnacentral:misc_RNA from 1 species
GAUGAAGAACGCAGCGAAAUGCGAUAAGUAAUGUGAAUUGCAGAAUUCAGUGAAUCAUCGAGUCUUUGAACGCACAUUGCGCCCCCUGGUAUUCCGGGGGGCAUGCCUGUCCGAGCGUCAUUGCUGCCCUCAAGCACGGCUUGUGUGUUGGGCCCCCGUCCCCGGUUUCCCCCGGGGACGGGCCCGUAAGGCAGCGGCGGCACCGCGUCCGGUCCUCGAGCGUAUGGGGCUUUGUCACCCGCUCUGUAGGCCCGGCCGGCGCCAGCCGACACCCAACUUUAUUUCUAAGGUUGACCUCGGAUCAGGUAGGGAUACCCGCUGAACUUAAGCAUAUCAAUAAGCGGAGGA